CACGUAGGGCGCAAGCGUUGUCCGGAAUUAUUGGGCGUAAAGAGCUCGUAGGCGGUCUGUUGCGUCCGCUGUGAAAACUCGGGGCUUAACCCCGAGCCUGCAGUGGAUACGGGCAGACUAGAGGUAGGUAGGGGAGAAUGGAAUUCCCGGUGUAGCGGUGAAAUGCGUAGAUAUUGGGAGGAACACCAGUGGCGAAGGCGGCUCACUGGCCCGGUACUGACGCUGAGGUGCGAAAGCGUGGGAGCAACAGG
rnacentral:rRNA from 1 species